AUGGCCUGAAAACAUGGGAUAUGGAAAGUUGGUAAUUCAGUCAUUCCCAAAAGGCUGUUGCAGUGAAGUAGCCUUCCUGAGUGUAGAUACUCAGCAGGCCCAUCAGCACUGGUGGGACUGAAAAGCUUCUUCCAGGGACCUAUAUACUAUAUCCAAGCUAUUGGAACAGACGCUCACGAAGAACACUCCCGCACCCCACGCUGGCUCUCUUCGGCAUAAUACAGAAAAGUCACUGACUUUACCCAGCUUAUUUCUUUCCUACUGGUGGCUAGGGAAGUCACUAUUUCAGAGUAUCAGGGCCCUAGGACGUGGCUGGGAAGAAGGAACAACAGGAAUGGCCUCUGCCCCAAAGCCCUAGCGGUACCACAGCUUCUCCUCCCACCACAAAAUGCCAGCCCCUCUGACCCCAGUUACUUCUCGUAUGUGUUCUUGCCUUGGUUGGAUAAGAACUGUAAUUGCACUAGGCUCAAACAGAUUUAUUUCCUUCUGAUUUGAAUGCUGAAAAUUAAUUCCUUUAGCAGACAAAGAAUAUCAAAUGCAGAGAGUAAAGUUCAUGUCCUUCUUAUGACCUUUAGUAA